UACAUGUGGGGCAAGCGUUGUUCGGAAUUACUGGGCGUAAAGGGCGCGUAGGUGGCCUUCUUAGUCAGACGUGAAAUCCCCGGGCUUAACUCGGGAACUGCGUCUGAUACUGGAAGGCUGGAGUUCGGGAGAGGAAUGUGGAAUUCCAGGUGUAGCGGUGAAAUGCGCAGAUAUCAGGAGGAACACCGGUGGCGAAGGCGGGUCUCUGGGCCGAUACUGACGCUGAGGAGCGAAAGCGUGGGGAGCGAACAGG
rnacentral:rRNA from 1 species